AGUCCGCUAUUCUGCAGUGAUUUUCUUCCAAUCCAGUAUCAUUUGUACGUUGCAGCAUCAUCAAACACUAUGACCCAUGAAUCAGAAGAUAACGUAGAUGCUACGAGAGAGCUCAUUUCACAAUGGACAACAGAAGUGUUACGUGACUUUCUACAAGGAGGGGACUCAAGCUUGGAAAUCGAGUACUCUGGGGGUACUGUUCAGCCAUCCGAGGUAGAGAUAAACUGGACGAUGGAUGGAGAGGGGGCGGGGGGGGGGGGGGGGGGGGAAAGGCAUGCAGACUGCAGAGCUGGUCGUCUACUAUGUAUAGAGACAUUUGUGUGUACCUAGUAGAUAAGGACCCUCCAUCACUAGAGGGAAGAAUGAGAGACUACAAAGAGGGAAAGGCAUUUAGUUAUUUUGCCAGUUUCUGGUUAGGGAGAUAUUUUUUUCAUCUCGUGGGAGAAAGCUGUCUGUAAUUCAAAAUCAUUUGAUACUUGAAUAAAUUUAGUUCAUUUUCUAGACUGUUUCAUGUCAAACCGUUGAUUCUACUUUCUUGUGAGUAUAGUCAGAGAGAUAGAGAAGUAACACGAGUAAA
rnacentral:lncRNA from 1 species